CUCGAGGCUCAGCCUUCCCUUAUGGAACCCUUUGUGUUCUUGCCCUGCACUGGGAGAAAAUUAUCCACAUUUGGAAAUCACACACCUAGCCCAUCUACUUAGUAUUCCUGCCUACUUCCUCUAAGUCUCAGCCUUGUGGGGUGUGGGUUUGCUGGUACUUGUGGGGGCAGGUGAAGAACUUGAGCAUAUCACCCAACCCUUCAGGGAUUUCCCUUCCCAUUCCCAACAGCUCAGAGGAAGAGAACGGGAGACAAAGGACCUGGUGAUUAGACCCCCAAGACACUGGGCUGUCUGCUUGUGUCUCAGCUCAGAGGAAGAGAAUGGGAGACAAAGGACCUGGUGAUUAGACCCCCAAGACACUGGGCUGUCUGCUUGUGUCUCGGGUGGAACAGGCCCAGCGAGAGUCUUUAGGGCCAGAACUCAAGAAUUUAUUGAGCCCUUGUUCUAGGCACUUGGGAUUCACCAGUAUACAAUGGAGACAAAAAUCCCUGCCCUGGAGCAGCUUACAUUCUAGCAUGGCAAACAGGCAGUAAACAGCCCAUUCUGGCUGCUGUAUUGAGAAGAGAAUGUGGUGGACAGAUAUAGAAGCAUGGAAACCUGAUAGGGCUAUUGCAAUCACUCAGAAAAGAGGCGAUGGCAGCUUGGACCUGUUGGAAGCAGUAGAGUGCUUCCAGGGAGGAGAAAGGACCUGAAGGUUAAUUUGAUCACCAAUGGCCAAUGAUGUAAUCAGUUAUGCCUAUGUAAUGAAGCUUCCGUAAAAACCAAAAGGAUUGGGUUUGAUUGAGCUUCUGGAUAGCUAAACAUGUGGAAGUUCCUGGAGGAUGGUGGUCCUAAACAGGGUAUGGAAGCUCCAUGCCCUUUCCUAUAUGCCUUACACUAUCCAUCUAUUCCACCUGGCUGUUUAACUGUAUCCUUUGUAAUAUCCUUUAUAAUAAGUGGGUAAAAGUAAGUAAAGUGUUUAUCUGAGUUCUCUGAGCAGUUCUAGAAAAUUAAUCAAACCUAAGGAGGGGGUUGUUGGAAUUCCUGAUUUAUAGCCAGUUCUUCAGAGGUAUAGGUGACAACCUGCUAUUUGUGACUGGCAUUGGAAGUAGGAAGAAGUCUUAUGGGACUGAGCCCUCAACCUAUGGAGGCUGAUGCUACAUCCAGGUAGGUAAGUGUCAAAAUUAAAUUGAAUUAGAGGACACCCAGUUGUUGUCUGCUGCAGAAUUCAUUGGUGUAUAGGAA
rnacentral:lncRNA from 10 species